rnacentral:lncRNA from 1 species
UCAAUAUAUGUACCAAAAUUGACUUUUAAGGUUUAAUUACCAAUGAUUUAUUAGGGGCUUUAUUUGUGGAACAAAAUAUUUCCAUAUUUUCUUUCCCUACUUUUUUCUCUUUCUUCCAACAGAUUUUUAACCUUAUUAAUUAUCAAGAUUUGUACACAAACAAUGUAGAUUAAAGUCUUUCCUGCUUGAAAAAGUCCGUAUUGAAAAAAUUUGUUCGAGAUUGAUGGAAAUGCCAAAAACAGCCGAAAAAUUAUAGACAGUAAGUUGGAACAGAAGACAAAAGCAAUGACACACAAGAACACAACAAAACAAACCAU